CUUGUUUAAUCUUGUUCUCUUUCAGCUUCAACGUCGAAUGAAGAUUGCUGAAUUGAAGCAGAUUUGUACUAGACCUGAUGUUGUUGAGGUUGCCACUGAAUUUCUUAAAAGUAUUUUAUAUCGAUCUAGCUUCCACCUAUUUUUGCCUUCGUACAAGCCUUUGUCUGUUAAUCCUUGUAGACUUAUAGAUUGACCAGCACCAACCUUUUUAUCUUUAAAUAAUUGGCAAUGUUAUGAUGCAAGCUAUGAUAUGAUUGGGUUAUUAGAGUUCUUAUGUGUUUUAACAAAAUACUGGGAAGGGAUGGAGCAUUUUUGAGUAAUGCAAGGCCGAUUAUUAGCUGUUAUUGGCUGGAUAUAUUAUUACUUCCAUGAUCAAUUUUAUGAUUAGAGUAAGUGACGGGUUUUAUGAUGCAAGGAAAAAUUAGUACAAGUUAUUGACAUGAUGGAUAUUGCUUGUGAUAUGUGAAUUUUUUUUUUUGUGCAGGACCUGCUCAAGCUCAGAACUUGAGGGAUUCACUUGCUGAAGUAAAUUCUAAUAUUGUUCUUAAGCAACUAUUUGAUGGGAAAGAGAGAUCUUAUAUAUGCAUUUUAAAGUAAUUAUAUGAUGCUACCAACAUUGGACAAGCAAAGCUACAGUGGUUAUGGGAACGAGUGGUGCUGGAAAAUCAAUAAUUGUAGUUCUUUGGAAUGAUUUGGUGCUGGUGUUGCUUCACUUCUAGAAAAAGCAUGCAUUUGUUAACGGGAGAGAUCAUUGGGAGAAUGUCCGGUGAUACGAUCCUCAUUUUGUAGAGGAUGGCUCCUAGCGAUUGUGUUGUGUACGUGCAACAUUCUUGCACUUGGUAUAGCAGGUUUGCGGUGGAUUAAAUGAGCCGUACGUUGAGCUGAAGAAGCUCGUGAAUUCAUAAGAAAAAUUGUACUAGAUGGCUAGCUAGUUGCAUAUUUAAUAUAUUUAGUAUUUUUGUAAGGCAUAAUAGUAUUACAUGGAGCAUUUGUUGAAUUUUGACUAUAUUCAAACGAUGUAUGAAUUCUUUUUUAUGAUAAUAAUAUAUGAAUUUUGAUUA